ensembl:lncRNA
CUAUCUCUAUAUCUAUGGUCGGCACGUCUGGUAGCAUCUCUGACUGCUGUUGAUCUUGUUUUCGGAGUAAAACACGGUGGAAGCUGAAUUAGUGAGGAUGACUCCUGCUCCUGUCAUCUCUAAGCUCCUCACACAUCUUUACCUGCACAUGAGGAAAAUCACUCCUGUAGAAUGCAGAUGUUCAGAGGGAGAUGAUGCCACAUCUGGUCCAGCUGAUGGAAGGUCUUGAAGUUCUCUGACUGGCCUGGACUGAAGAUGGUCGUCUCACUGGAUUUAAGGUUCAGAUGCUCAGUAACAAACUCCACCAAUGAGCCAACAGGGAAGCUUUAGGUUUAUUAAAUGUUGCUAUGAAGGUUUCGCUCGUUUGUGAUGCUGAAGCAGUGACCAGUUUUUCUGUUUCUUCUCUGGAGAUGCACAAUGAGGGACGUCUGCAGAGACUGAGAAAGAGUCUCACCACAUCCUGACAUGAGGAAAAAGACUUUAUUGAAGACUACAAUGAGAAAAACUAUCAGACAGCAGACGGCUGCAUUCAAGGCUACAGGAGGAGUCCUAAGAGGACGAGCCAGUCCACCUGAUGGCGGCCAGUCGCUGCGGUUCAAAGCCAACACCGACUACGUGGACUUCUACUGGACCACAUGGAGGCCUUCAAACCGGACCAACAAGUUCAGCGACUCCCCGACUCGUGGGUCUGAGGACGCCGCCGAGCCUCGGUCCAGCCGGCCUCCUGUCUGUGGGUGUUUGAGUGCUGAGAGGUUUGUGGAUGCAUGUGAACGUUCUGUGUUGAAACAGCAGCUUUGGACUCAGUAACGCCAGGAAAAACCAAGAGCUCCUUUAUUUGUGACUUCCACUAAAAAAAC